rnacentral:rRNA from 1 species
AAUGAACGCUGGCGGCGUGCCUAAUACAUGCAAGUCGAGCGAACGGACGAGAAGCUUGCUUUUCUGAUGUUAGCGGCGGACGGGUGAGUACCACGUGGAUAACCUACCUAUAAGACUAGGAUAACUUCGAGCAGCCUGCGCUCAUACCUGAUCAUAUUUUGAACCGCAUGGGUCAAGAGUGAAAGCCGGUCUUGCUGUCACUUAUCGAUGGAUCCGCGCUGCAGUAUCUAGUUGGUAAGGUAACGGCUUACCAAGGCAACGCUUCAUAGCCGACCUGAGAGGGGGCUCGGCCACAGUGGAACUGAGGCACGGUCCAGACUCCUACGGGAGGUAGCAGUAGGGAAUCUGACGCAAUGGGCGAAAGCCUGACGGAGCACCGCCGCGUGAGUGAUGAAGGUCCUCGGAUCGUAAAAACCCGCUACUAGGGAAGCACAUAUGCGCAAUGAACUGCGCACAUCCUGACGGUACCCAAGCAGAAAGCUAGGGAUAAUUACGUG